AAUCCCGAAAUCAAAGAGACAAAACUUGCCAACAAAACUUCAGAAAAAAAAUCUGGCAAGCCUGUUGGGAAAUCUCCAACUCGAAACAAAGGAGAGAGCAAGCACAGUACAAAAGCUGAUAAAGAGGUCUCUGACAUCGCAGUUCAGGAUGUGGAAGGUAACCCAGACACAGCUACAGUUGAGUCCCAAACGAAAAAACUCCAAGCCCAGCCUCAGCAGACAAAUACGGAUAAUGAAAAGCUGGAUCUCUUUAACGAGACCUUAUGGAAGUCCUUGCCAACUGAUCAAGUCAACAACAAGUUCACCCAGUACAGAAAGUUGGCAACUGAGAAAAUAAAAGACCUUGAAGACCAGCUUGAGUUGACCUUGGCGAAGACCAAGAGGAAAGUGACGACACUGAAAGCUCAAUUCCAUGAACACAAAAGUAAAUGGGAAGCAG
rnacentral:sRNA from 1 species